rnacentral:rRNA from 1 species
UUAUGGCUCGAGGACGAACGCGUGGCGGCGUGCUUAACACAUGCAAGUCGAGCGAUGAAGCUCCUUCGGGAGUGGAUUAGCGGCGGACGGGUGAGUAACACGUGGGUAACCUGCCUCAUAGAGGGGAAUAGCCUUUCGAAAGGAAGAUUAAUACCGCAUAAGAUUGUAGUACCGCAUGGUACAGCAAUUAAAGGAGUAAUCCGCUAUGAGAUGGACCCGCGUCGCAUUAGCUAGUUGGUGAGGUAAUGGCUCACCAAGGCGACGAUGCGUAGCCGACCUGAGAGGGUGAUCGGCCACAUUGGGACUGAGACACGGCCCAGACUCCUACGGGAGGCAGCAGUGGGGAAUAUUGCACAAUGGGGGAAACCCUGAUGCAAGCAACGCCGCGUGAGUGAUGACGGUCUUCGGAUUGUAAAGCUCUGUCUUUAGGGACGAUAAUGACGGUACCUAAGGAGGAAGCCACGGCUAACUACGUGCCAGCCGCAGC